rnacentral:rRNA from 1 species
GUGAAUGCGCGAAGCCUGAUCAGCCAUGCCGCGUGUGUGAAGAAGGCCUUUUGGUUGUAAAGCACUUUAAGCGAGGAGGAGGCUACUUGGAUUAAUACUCUAGGAUAGUGGACGUUACUCGCAAAAUAAGCACCGGCUAACUCUGUGCCAGCAGCCGCGGUAAUACAGAGGGUGCGAGCGUUAAUCGGAUUUACUGGGCGUAAAGCGUGCGUAGGCGGCUUUUUAAGUCGGAUGUGAAAUCCCUGAGCUUAACUUGGGAAUUGCAUUCGAUACUGGGAAGCUAGAGUAUGGGAGAGGAUGGUAGAAUUCCAGGUGUAGCGGUGAAAUGCGUAGAGAUCUGGAGGAAUACCGAUGGCGAAGGCAGCCAUCUGGCCUAAUACUGACGCUGAGGUACGAAAGCAUGGGGAGCAAACAGGAUUAGAUACCCUGGUAGUCCAUGCCGUAAACGAUGUCUACUAGCCGUUGGGGCCUUUGAGGCUUUAGUGGCGCAGCUAACGCGAUAAGUAGACCGCCUGGGGAGUACGGUCGCAAGACUAAAACUCAAAUGAAAUUUGACGGA